UUGGAUCCAGACUUUGAUCAUGGCUCAGGAUGAACGCUAGCUACAGGCUUAACACAUGCAAGUCGAGGGGAAACGACAUCGAAAGCUUGCUUUUGAUGGGCGUCGACCGGCGCACGGGUGAGUAACGCGUAUCCAACCUGCCCACCACUUGGGGAUAACCUUGCGAAAGUAAGACUAAUACCCAAUGAUAUCUCUAGAAGACAUCUGAAAGAGAUUAAAGAUUUAUCGGUGAUGGAUGGGGAUGCGUCUGAUUAGCUUGUUGGCGGGGUAACGGCCCACCAAGGCAACGAUCAGUAGGGGUUCUGAGAGGAAGGUCCCCCACAUUGGAACUGAGACACGGUCCAAACUCCUACGGGAGGCAGCAGUGAGGAAUAUUGGUCAAUGGACGAGAGUCUGAACCAGCCAAGUAGCGUGCAGGAAGACGGCCCUAUGGGUUGUAAACUGCUUUUAUAAGGGAAUAAAGUGAGAGUCGUGACUCUUUUUGCAUGUACCUUAUGAAUAAGGACCGGCUAAUUCCGUGCCAGCAGCCGCGGUAAUACGGAAGGUCCGGGCGUUAUCCGGAUUUAUUGGGUUUAAAGGGAGCGUAGGCCGGAGAUUAAGCGUGUUGUGAAAUGUAGACGCUCAACGUCUGCACUGCAGCGCGAACUGGUUUCCUUGAGUACGCACAAAGUGGGCGGAAUUCGUGGUGUAGCGGUGAAAUGCUUAGAUAUCACGAAGAACUCCGAUUGCGAAGGCAGCUCACUGGAGCGCAACUGACGCUGAAGCUCGAAAGUGCGGGUAUCGAACAGGAUUAGAUACCCUGGUAGUCCGCACGGUAAACGAUGGAUGCCCGCUGUUGGUCUGAAUAGGUCAGCGGCCAAGCGAAAGCAUUAAGCAUCCCACCUGGGGAGUACGCCGGCAACGGUGCAACUCAAAUGAAUUGACGGA
rnacentral:rRNA from 1 species